AUGGCGACACUUGGGCGAGCGAAGCAAGAUCCGGGCACACUGACAAGGCUUUGGCCCAGGAACAAGCCGCAGUCGGCAGCGAGCCGGUGGAGGCGAGUUAGAAGGUUUACCGGUGUCAGUGUGAUGGUUCAUCGAUGCUCGAACUGGAGGUCGGCGGGGCUUAGAGGGAAGGCCUUGGGCGACAAGCACGACAAUAGGUGGAGGUUGAGGGGGAGGGCGGGGCGGCGGAGACAGGACGCCAAGGCCAAGGCGCUGGUGGCCGCGAAGAUCCAGGAAGGGGAGUACAAGGUGCGGAUGAUAGGAGAGUACGCGGUGCGGACGGACCGCGCGAUCGAUGCGCUGGAGAAAAAGGUGCAGGACAUCGAGGCGGUGAUGGAUCUCGAGCUGAUGCUCGGCGAGUACUGCGCCGACCUCUCGGACAUGCACAAGGCGCGCCACUACUACCGCGCCACCUCGCUCUCGGAGGAGGAGAAGCUGUACCUCCACCAAAUCGACGACUUCGCCGCCGCCACCAUCGCCGAGUACGAGGCCAGCGUCGGCCCCGUCCCGGCCUUCGACAAGCACCUCAGCCUGUUCAGCCAAGAAAUCCCACUGGAGUUCCCCGAACCCUUGGCUCCCCCUCCCCCUUCUUCGGCUUCGGCUUCGGCUUCUCACCACGAGUGA
rnacentral:rRNA from 1 species